UACGUAGGGUGCAAGCGUUAUCCGGAUUUACUGGGCGUAAGGCGUCCGUCGGCGUCUCAGCAAGUCUUUUGUUCAAGCCUGGGGCUCAACUCCAGAAAAGCAAGGGAAACUACUGAGAUUGAGUUUGUUUGGGGGAACUAGAAUUCUCGGUGGAGGGGUGAAAUCCGUAGAUAUCGAGAGGAACACCAGUGGCGAAGGCGACUACCUGGCCUGUUCUUGACGCUGAGGCGCGAAAGCUAGGGGAGCAAACGGG
rnacentral:rRNA from 1 species